AUUUUCCCGAGCUCUGCUCAUCAAAAGAAAACCUGCUCAGAGAGACUGGACCGCAACACAUUCCAGCUGUUUCACAGUAUCUUCAAGCCACUAAGGAUGUCCAUCAUGUCGGAAGUCGCCCACCUGCCCUCCAUGACGCCCCCUGCACCCGGUUACAACUCCACCUCUGGCCUCCUGACCACCCCCAAACUACUCCCAUGGGAGGAGGCGCACAUGCAAGUGCACACCAUCCUUAUUGUCAUCAUUUUUUGUGUUGUUUGCUUCCUACUCCUGCUCGCCUUUUUCUACACCUUCUGCUUCCACUGCUCCAUCAGUUCAAUACCUAAAGACUCGCACGCAGCCAACGAAUACAGCCAAGAGCGCGAGGACACCACCUACAAGUGCAGUUCUUCUGAUAACCAAUCAGCAGGGAACAUUGUCUGAUUGGUUCACUGGACCCGAAUAAUGGCCAUUCGACUGUCUAUCAAUGUUUUUGUGUCAGCAUCACACUAUAGUAGCAAGUAUACGUGCACUGUGAGGCAGAGAGUAUUAACCUUCCAUAAACCAUGUGUGAAAUUUGAAACAUUGCUUGUACUCUUAAAUUUAAUUUCAUAGUGAUUUGUCCGUGGGUUAGAGCCAUGGUUGAAGAGGAACAGGGUUUUAUGACAAAAGAUAAUCAGCAAAAAUGCGAGUAUGAUUAAUUUUGAAGCUCAAAUACAAGUGCAUUGGGUGCAGGUACAAUAUAAACAUAUCCAUAUCUCCAUAGAGAAAUGUGUUCAAUAAAGAAAAGUGUAAAAUAAAUGUAUAUAGGCCUACAGUAUAUAACCAUGAGUCUGAAUGCCAGUGCCUUUGAGUGACAAGACAAACAAUAACAAAGGGAUGCACACACGGCUCAGCUCACUUUAUUUUCACCGAUCUGACAACAUUUACAUUGAGCUGUGGCUGUGUAUUUGACGAGACUGAUAUAGAACAAUGAAUCUAGACGUUCAGGAGGAAGAAGCGAAGAGGAACAGAGGGGAGAUACAAAGUGAUGUCUUCCUAGGAUGAAAAUGAGAUCUCAAAUGUACAAUGUGCAGCCGAACAAACAGGAUAUUACUGAGCUUGUGUCUGAACUGCUUGGCAGUGACCGCUCUUGGUUUGAAAACAUGUUAUGGGUACACAACAAACUUUUUGAGACAUUUGCUUUGAAUGGACUCGUGUGAGGUAAUUAUUGGAUAAGCAGCUGCUCACAUAAACUGAUCUAGUGUGAAAUUAACAAUGAUGUUAUGAUUUAUUUUUGUAUUGUCUGAGCAAAUUAAGCACUGUUGAUUUCACUGUGCAACGUAACACCACGCAAGGCCGCUAACAUUUUCAAGCAUUACAGACUAGGCCAUAUACAAACAAAUUGUCAUAAGACAUUGACAUUCAGAGAGUUGUAGAAACGUAACAUUUAA